AGCCCCCGCGGGUUGGGAGAAGACCAACCACCCGGGGACACUGGGCGCGAUAUAUUUGUCUCCACCCCCGGCGCCGUACUCACUGCUCCAAUUGACGACGGUGUUUGGGGUGGCCAUAGGGGAUGGCUAGAUCCCAAUCACGCCACGAGUGCCCUUCGUGUGGUGGCGGUGGUAGAGAAACGGUAGUGGCCGGUGAUGAAACGGUACCGGCCGUGGCCGAGCUCGAGAAGUUGGGUUCCUCUUCCACCGUCACUACUCACUCCACUACUGACUACUGUGUUCAACGUCGGCGGUCGUUGUCUUUAUUGGCUUCAGGUAGAACAAGGGGCCGUUAAGACCGGUUCACUAUAGGGUCCCAUAAAGGUUCCUCCCGUGUAGACACACGUCCAGGAAAAACAAUAAAUGGAGCGAGCGUCGCUUGCCGUUGUGGGCCCUGAGACUUAGGGAGCAAAAAUGAGUCGGAGUCGUUAUCGUGGAUGUCCGUCCGACCACGGCCGCGUCUUAUCCAUCGUGCUGCUUCGAUGAACAAGCGCGUUCGGAUCUCUGCUGUUACUCUUUUUGUUUCAGACCCGACAUCGUAUGACACAAAACACGAACAAUAACAUUUAGAUGUUCGCACAGGCAGACUUAAUUCACACGUACUCAUAGUUUACCUGUUUGUUCCGUUCAUUGACCACGUUUUUACGACUUAAACCAGUCCG
rnacentral:rRNA from 1 species